CCUACGGGAGGCAGCAGCAAGGGAUUUUGUGCAAUGGGCGAAAGCCUGACACAGCAACGCCGCGUGAGGGAAUAAGGCCUUCGGGUUGUAAACCUCUUUUCUCAGGGAAGAAUAAUGACGGUACCUGAGGAAUAAGUCUCGGCUAACUACGUGCCAGCAGCCGCGGUAAUACGUAGGAGGCGAGCGUUAUCCGGAUUUACUGGGCGUAAAGGGGGCGCAGGCGGCUUUUCAAGUCGGGUGUAAAAUCUCCCCGCUCAACGGGGAGGGAUCAUUCGAUACUGUUGAGCUAGAGGGCAGCAGAGGGAGGUGGAAUUCCCGGUGGAGUGGUGAUAUGCGUAGAUAUCGGGAAGAACACCAGUGGCGAAGGCGGCCUCCCAGGCUGUUUCUGACGCUGAGGCCCGAAAGCGCGGGGAGCGAACAGGAUUAGAUACCCUAGUAGUCC
rnacentral:rRNA from 1 species